GCUGGCGGCAUGCCUAACACAUGCAAGUCGAACGAGACCUUCGGGUCUAGUGGCGCACGGGUGCGUAACACGUGGGAAUUUGCCUCGGGGUAUGGAAUAACUCAGGGAAACUUGAGCUAAUACCAUAUAAUGUCUUCGGACCAAAGAUUUAUCGCCCUGAGAUAAGCCCGCGUAGGAUUAGCUAGUUGGUGGGGUAAAGGCUCACCAAGGCGACGAUCCUUAGCUGGUCUGAGAGGAUGAUCAGCCACACUGGGACUGAGACACGGCCCAGACUCCUACGGGAGGCAGCAGUGGGGAAUAUUGGACAAUGGGCGAAAGCCUGAUCCAGCAAUGCCGCGUGAGUGAUGAAGGCCUUCGGGUUGUAAAGCUCUUUACUCGGGACGAUAAUGACGGUACCGAGAGAAUAAGCCCCGGCUAACUCCGUG
rnacentral:rRNA from 1 species